UACGUAGGUGGCGAGCGUUGUCCGGAAUUACUGGGUGUAAAGGGCGCGCAGGCGGGGGAAUAAGUCAGAUGUGAAAACCCGGGGCUCAACUCCGGGAAUGCACCUGAAACUAUUUUUCUUGAGUGCCGGAGAGGGAAGCGGAAUUCCUGGUGUAGCGGUGAAAUGCGUAGAUAUCAGGAGGAACACCGGUGGCGAAGGCGGCUUUCUGGACGGUAACUGACGCUGAGGCGCGAAAGCGUGGGUAG
rnacentral:rRNA from 1 species